rnacentral:rRNA from 1 species
GGUUGAUCCUGCCGGAGGCUAUUGCUAUCAGGGUUUGACUAAGCCAUGCGAGUCGAGAGGUGAAAGACCUCGGCAUACUGCUCAGUAACACGUGGAUAAUCUGCCCUCAGAUGAGGAAUAAUCCCGGGAAACUGGGGCUAAUGCCUCAUAGGAGACGGGUGCUGGAAUGCUCUGUCUCUGAAAGGUCCGCCGUCUGAGGAUGAGUCUGCGUCCGAUUAGGUUGUUGUUGGGGUAACGGCCCACCAAGCCAUUGAUCGGUACGGGUUGUGGGAGCAAGAGCCCGGAGAUGGAUUCUGAGACAUGAAUCCAGGCCCUACGGGGCGCAGCAGGCGCGAAAACUUUACAAUGCGAGCAAUCGUGAUAAGGAAACCCUGAGUGCCUGUCAAUGCAGGCUGUUCUGGUGUUUAGUCCGCACCAGGAGAAAGGGCGGGGCAAGACCGGUGCCAGCCGCCGCGGUAAUACCGGCUGCUCGAGUGAUAGCCACUUUUACUGGGCUUAAAGCGUUCGUAGCUUGGUCGUUAAGUCUCUGGGGAAAUCUUCUGGCUUAACCAGAAGGCGUCUCAGAGAAACUGGCGACCUUGGGACCGGGAGAGGUAAGACGU